rnacentral:rRNA from 1 species
GAUGAACGCUGGCGGCGUGCCUAAUACAUGCAAGUCGAGCGAACGGACGAGAAGCUUGCUUCUCUGAUGUUAGCGGCGGACGGGUGAGUAACACGUGGAUAACCUACCUAUAAGACUGGGAUAACUUCGGGAAACCGGAGCUAAUACCGGAUGAUAUUUUGAACCGCAUGGUUCAAAAGUGAAAGACGGUCUUGCUGUCACUUAUAGAUGGAUCCGCGCUGCAUUAGCUAGUUGGUAAGGUAACGGCUUACCAAGGCAACGAUGCAUAACCGACCUGAGAGGGUGAUCGGCCACACUGGAACUGAGACACGGUCCAGACUCCUACGGGAGGCAGCAGUAGGGAAUCUUCCGCAAUGGGCGAAAGCCUGACGGAGCAACGCCGCGUGAGUGAUGAAGGUCUUCGGAUCGUAAAACUCUGUUAUUAGGGAAGAACAUAUGUGUAAGUAACUGUGCACAUCUUGACGGUACCUAAUCAGAAAGCCACGGCUAACUACGUG